UCAGUGCGGUGAUUAUGAUGGGGAUUUGUAUCGAGAGUAUCCUCUGGAUUCCGAAGGUGGGUUUGGGAAUAUCAUUGUGGUGGACAAUCUGCCGGUGAUGCCGCUGGAAAACUUUGCGAAGCUCGAAGGUGUAAGAUGUACAAUCAAGAAACGGGAGGCUCGAAUAUUCAGGGAAAGACGAAUGGACUCUAUGUUGGACAAAUCAUAUGCAUGAUGUUGAUCUGUUUGGUGACUUCAAGAAGUACAUGAUGAUUCCAGAUGAGUGGAAAUCUGCUGAAAUUAGAUCAAACAAACCUGGGUUGUUCUAUGUAAUUUGUUGUUUAUGCCCCUCUUCACUAUUGGACUGAGAGCUCUAUCCAGUGGCCUCUUCUACUUUUCAUUGUUUGAUGCAUUUUGCCUAUUCUCAGGUCGGUCUUACUUUUCAUUGUUAUUUUCUUUUUUAUGUUUAUGAUCUGGAGGUCAUGUUUGUUGCUAACAGAUGAGGUGUUGAUGCCUCCUGGUGAGAAAUACCUGUUUCACUUAACAAUAGCCAUGAAUCUAGUAAAUCUUGUGACACUUAUGUAAGCAGUUUUACAAUUUAAUUCUCUUUCACCAUAAUAUUAUAUAUUCUCUACUUUUAUUACCUCGCAUCAUAUACUAAUGUCCUAUUUGUCUGUCGUCCGACUCAUGGGGGUUUGCAUUUUAUCUUUUGGUUAUCAAGUUCCUUGUGAAUUCAUUUUGGUACAAAGAGACGCCACAAAUAUAUUUUUAAUAUAAUAUUUAUAUAUUUUUACUGUUAAAAUAAUCUUUAUUAUAUGCAUAAUGUAUGAUAUAACCUAUCAAUCAUUUGACUCAUUGAUCCAACUAGUGAACUAGUGGCUCAAUGCUUGGUUGCAUUAUGUCCGAUCUGGGUUCUAAUGCUUAGUUAUAUUAAGGUGGUGUUUUGUACCGGAUAUAUAUUAUUGUGUGGUUUAUUAUUAAUUAGCAAUUGUUUAUGCUUAGCUUUUCUGUUUUGUAGAUUGAAUGGUGAUUGUUAUCCUUUUUUGUUUUAAUUUGAUAACAAUGGGAACAGUUUUCAUAGCAUUCCUAAACUUCCACCACUCGAGGAUGCUGUUGAGGAGGCUGAGAUCGUCCGGAACCGGAAGCACAGCGAGAAGUAUGAAGUAGAGGACCAGGAUGUCCCCAUGCAAUUGAACGAGCAGUAAGGUAAAAAGAGAUGAUGAUGUGAGGAACAGUGAAAUGAAUCAGGAACCAAACGGAAGCAGUUGCUUUAGGAAGAGAGGUUGCUGAAGGGUUCAGUUGAGGGAUGAAGAGAGAAGGGGGUUAUGUACGCUGGUUGACUUGGUUCAGGAACCAAAAAUUAAUCUCCCUACUCCAUCUUUCAGUAGACGGACUAAUAUGCUGGUUGACUUGGUUCUGGACCAACCACUAGUGUCCGUUUUAAGGAUGGCGCACUCCAUGAACUACAGCGUGGUGCCAUCGUCAUCAUCGCUUCAUCAAUCGUGACUUCGCCAUCACGAAGGGCAAUCUCAGAAGUGACGGAGUGGUGCUGGUGAUGGGGGUUGAGGACAAGGUGCCUUCAGUCACAAGACCGACAUGAGCAUGGGACUUGCAUUAGGAGAGGAGAGGGUGGAUGUACGUUGAUGAUCACUACGGUGUC